GAUGAACGCUAGCGGCAGGCUUAAUACAUGCAAGUCGAGGGGCAGCAGGGUGGUAGCAAUACCACUGCUGGCGACCGGCAAACGGGUGCGGAACACGUACGCAAUCUACCCAUAACUGGGGCAUAGCCCUCCGAAAGGAGGAUUAAUACCCCGUAACCUUUGAAGGUGGCAUCACCUUCUUAGUAUAGCUCCGGCGGUUAUGGAUGAGCGUGCGGCUGAUUAGGUAGUUGGCGGGGUAACGGCCCACCAAGCCUGCGAUCAGUAACUGGUGUGAGAGCACGACCAGUCACACGGGCACUGAGACACGGGCCCGACUCCUACGGGAGGCAGCAGUAAGGAAUAUUGGUCAAUGGCCGCAAGGCUGAACCAGCCAUGCCGCGUGAAGGAUGAAGGUCCUCUGGAUUGUAAACUUCUUUUAUAGGGGACGAAACCCCGGGAUUCCUCCCGGUUUGACGGUACCCUAGGAAUAAGCACCGGCUAACUCCGUGCCAGCCGCCGCGGUAACAC
rnacentral:rRNA from 1 species